rnacentral:rRNA from 1 species
UACGUAGGUGGCGAGCGUUAUCCGGAUUUACUGGGCGUAAAGGGAGCGUAGGCGGAUGAUUAAGUGGGAUGUGAAAUACCCGGGCUCAACUUGGGUGCUGCAUUCCAAACUGGUUAUCUAGAGUGCAGGAGAGGAGAGUGGAAUUCCCGGUGUAGUGGUGAAAUGCGUAGAUAUCUGGAGGAAUACCGGUGGCGAAGGCGGCAUCCUGGACCGGCAUUGACGCUGAGGAGCGAAAGCCAGGGGAGCAAACGGG